rnacentral:rRNA from 1 species
AUUGAACGCUGGCGGCAGGCUUAACACAUGCAAGUCGAACGGUAACGGGUUGAAAGCUUGCUUUCAAUGCUGACGAGUGGCGGACGGGUAAGUAAGGCUUGGGGAUCUGGCUUUUGGAGGGGGAUAACCAUUGGAAACGAUGGCUAAUACCGCAUAGUAUCGAGAGAUGAAAGGGGUGGGAAACCACUUGCCAAGGGAUGAACCCAAGUGAGAUUAGGUAGUUGGUGAGGUAACGGCCCACCAAGGCAACGAUCGGUAGCCGGACUGAGAGGUUGAACGGCCACAUUGGGACUGAGACACGGCCCAG